UAGUUUUUUUUUAAGGUAAUUUNUGCCCUAUGAAUUUUUAAAUGGCUGCAGUAUCCUGACUGUGCAAAGGUAGCAUAAUAAUUAGUCAUUUAAUUGAUGACUUGUAUGAAUGAAUACAUGAGAUGUAAAUUUUAUUAAUUUUAAUGUUUUAAUUUUAUUUUUAGGUAAAAAAGCUUAAUUGAUUUUUAGGGACGAUAAGACCCUAUAGAACUUUAUAGGUUAAUAAAAUUGAUUUGAUUUGGAAUUUUAUUCUAUUUGUUUUAUUAAUUUUUUUGGUUGGGGUGACAGGUAAAUUACUACUUUACUUUAUUUAAUCAUUUUAUAUAUGUUUUAAUUGAUCCAAUAUUUAGAUAAGAAGAAAAAGUUACCUUAGGGAUAACAGCGUAAUUUUAGUGGGGAGUUCUUAUUUAUACUAAAGUUUGCGACCUCGAUGUUGAAUUAAGAUUAGUUUAGGGGGUAG
rnacentral:rRNA from 1 species